UAAACAUACGGUUGUUUAAAAUUUUGAGUAUUGGAGCAAAAGUAAAAUUUCUUGUUUUAAAUUUUCAUAUUUUUUUUGUAUAUAUACUUCGAGAUUGGUUGGGUGACAUUUAAAAAUCUCAUUUCAUCCAGGUUUAUUUCCAGAUUGGACUCAGUGGCUACCUACCUUAUUUACGAUUUAAUCCAAGAAACGUGUUAUACCGUAACUCAACAAUGAAUACUUUUGUCAUUAUUGGUCUCGUCCUUUCCAUCGUUUUUGCGAUUCUUCUCCUCUUCCAGUAUUGCAAGGAACGUCGCAAGAUGAGCUACGAUUU